UACGUAGGCAGCAAGCGUUGUUCGGAGUUACUGGGCGUAAAGGGUGUGUAGGCGGUUCCUUAAGUUUGCUGUGAAAUCUCCCGGCUUAACCGGGAGGGUGCGGUGAAUACUGAGGGACUAGAGUACGGGAGAGGAAAGUGGAAUUCCUGGUGUAGCGGUGAAAUGCGUAGAUAUCAGGAGGAACACCGGUGGUGUAGACGGCUUUCUGGACCGUAACUGACGCUGAGACACGAAAGCGUGGGGAGCGAACAGG
rnacentral:rRNA from 1 species